rnacentral:lncRNA from 1 species
CUGGCUUGUAUAUCUGAUUUGAAAUAAUCAUUGUGAUUUUCUGUGCAGGUUUUGAAUAUGUGUGCCAUCAAGUGGUCCAACACUGAUUUUUUAUGUUCUGUUUAGUGAUUUGGUGGACUGGCGGCGAUAAGGAAACCUUAUCCACAUGCCUCGAUUCAGCAAACGCCCAUGAAAUGGCAUGCUUAACUGUUCCUCCAGCUAACACCAUUACAUUUUUGAUUAUUGUCAUAUCAACUUCAAGUUCGUCAGCUCUACGAAUUUCUUCAAGGUCUUCUGCCUCUGUUAUUAUAUUGCUAACAAACUCUGCCGGUAUAUCUCAAUUACCAUCUUCAACACCACUUGUGUCUGCCUCUUCAGUGUCAUUUCCUCUCUGGGAAGUGAAAGAGAGAUUCUGUUCAGACAUGUUAAAGCCUUGUCAGAUCCUUCUGGUAAAGAAACUCCACAAAACUUGGGUCCAAAUAUGUCGUCCUUCUCAAUCAAACAAAUUCAAAUGUUCAAAUCCUUAUCAGGUAAACGAUCAUAUCUUUUCGAUUAUAAUUUUAGGCUGCAAACUUAAUACAUCCCGCAAGCUUGUUGCUGCCGGCCGGAAUAAAACCAAAAAAAAUGACCAUAUUUCGUUUCCCCAGUCUUCCUUGGGAGUGUUACAUUUAUGACGUGGGUUUGUACUUCUACAUCCCGUCAUUGUACUAUUGUUAAUUUGUGGAUUUAUU